GAUGAACGCUGGCGGCGUGCCUAAUACAUGCAAGUCGAGCGAACGGACGAGAAGCUUGCUUCUCUGAUGUUAGCGGCGGACGGGUGAGUAACACGUGGAUAACCUACCUAUAAGACUGGGAUAACUUCGGGAAACCGUAGCUAAUACCGGAUAAUAUUUUGAACCGCAUGGUUCAAAAGUGAAUGACGGUCUUGCUGUCACUUAUAGAUGGAUCCGCGCUGCAUUAGCUAGUUGGUAGGGUAACGGCUUACCAAGGCAACGAUGCAUAGCCGACCUGAGAGGGUGAUCGGCCACACUGGAACUGAGACACGGUCCAGACUCCUACGGGAGGCAGCAGUAGGGAAUCUUCCGCAAUGGGCGAAAGCCUGACGGAGCAACGCCGCGUGAGUGAUGAAGGUCUUCGGAUCGUAAAACUCUGUUAUUAGGGAAGAACAUAUGUGUAAGUAACUGUGCACGUCUUGACGGUACCUAAUCAGAAAGCCACGGCUAACUACGUG
rnacentral:rRNA from 1 species